GGAGGAGAUCGAGACAAAUCCCAUGUCAGUGGCUCUCCCGUCUUACUUUAUUAGAGAACAGAUGAAGAAAAGAUAAACAGAAUGCUGCAACACUUCAUGAUAUGAAAAAAUCAUCCUAGUUGCUUCCUUUUCAGGAGAUCCUGUUGGAAAAACAGCAACAUGCAGGUCAAUUUGGUUGCUGCCAGGUCAAUUUUUCAUCACAAGAGUAUUACAUGAAAUUCCAACUACUAGAAUGAUACCACGACAAAAUACUGAAGCUUUCUAUGGAAUUUUUUUUCUUCAUGUUAAGAAUAAAGGACAAUGAAACACUUGCUUGUAAAA